CGGGCUGUCAUAGUAAAAGUGCACCGGGGCAUUGAACCGGACAGUUAAUUGAUCCCUUCUCUCCAGUGCCUGCUUGGACAGUCUCCAGCCCCUUGCAACCCUGAGAUGGAUCUUGCUGGGUAUAAUGAAUGGAUGGAUCUUGACAUGACCUGUUCUAAUUACAUGAGGAGUUUCUCCAGGGGGAUGUAGCUUGUGGGAGGAUCACGCUAUUCCCCCCAGUUCCCCCUCCCCCCGAACAGACGCCCUGACUGACCAGAGGAGGCGCUAGUGCAGCGACCAGGACACAUACCCAACUCCGGCUUCCCAUCCGCAGACACAGCCAAUUGUGGCUGUAGGACACCCGACCGAGCC